rnacentral:tRNA from 1 species
GGGGAUAUAGCUCAGUUGGUAGAGUGCUUGGCUUGCAUGCACAAGGCUGUGGAUUCAAUCCACAGUACCCCCC